AACGAUCGCUGGCGGCAUGCCUAACACAUGCCAGUCGAACGAGACCUUCGGGUCUAGUGGCGCACGGGUGCGUAACGCGUGGGAACCUGCCCUUAGGUUCGGAAUAACUCCCCGAAAGGGGUGCUAAUACCGGAUAAUGUCUUCGGACCAAAGAUUUAUCGCCUUUGGAUGGGCCCGCGUUGGAUUAGCUAGUUGGUAGGGUAAAAGCCUACCAAGGCGACGAUCCAUAGCUGGUCUGAGAGGAUGAUCAGCCACACUGGGACUGAGACACGGCCCAGACUCCUACGGGAGGCAGCAGUGGGGAAUAUUGGACAAUGGGCGAAAGCCUGAUCCAGCAAUGCCGCGUGAGUGAUGAAGGCCUUAGGGUUGUAAAGCUCUUUUACCCGGGAUGAUAAUGACAGUACCGGGAGAAUAAGCUCCGGCUAACUCCGUG
rnacentral:rRNA from 1 species